ensembl:lncRNA
CUUUUAUUAAACAUUAACAAAUACACGACAAUAUGAACAUUUAUUAACAAAAACUUUUGAACAGGACGAUCGGUGUAAUUGUUAUUUUGUUUAAAGAUCUUGUUUUUUUUUUCCAUUUAGUACUGCCCUUCUGAAGCUAAAUAAGAUACUUACAUGUCUCCCAGAAGACAAAAUAACAAUUGACACUGAUCAUCCUGUACAAAAGUUUACACCCCCCUGGCUCUUAAUGUUUCAUGUUGCUUUCUUGCGCAGCAGUGAAUGUUUGCACCUUAUGUAAUAGUUGUGUACGAGUCCCUCAGUUGCCCUCAGUGUGAAAAGAUGGAUCUCGACAUCAUAUAGUCACCGUUGGAAAGGGGUCAAAUAUGCAGAAGAUGCUAGAAAAGCAAAGAAUGUGCAGGACCUGGAGGAUUUUUCUGAAGAACAGAGGGCAGUUUAACUAACAAGGGACUCAUGAACAACUCUCACAAAACAUAAAAAACAGUCAUUGAUCAUCCAGGUAACGACACACAUUAUGAAGAAUCAAGGGUAUGUAAACUUUUAAGCGGGGUAAGUUUUAUAAAUUCAGCUAUUUAAACCUCCCCCCCACACAAAUUCAACCACUUAAAAACAGCAAGGACUUUUAUAAACAAUUAAAAAGAGACUAUAAUAUGAACAUUUUAACAAAUUAACAACAACAAAAAACACACCACAGUUAAAACACUCUAAAUACCUUCCUUUUGCAAAAGUCAACAUCACACUACUUUAAUUCUGUCUGAUUUAUAUCGGGCAAAAUUCGAGCUCUAACUAACUGAAAUUAAUGGUUAUUUUAAACUUCUAAUCAAAGUUUGCGCUUCUAAAAUCAAUGACAGCUUUAAUUUUAUUAAUUGUGGAAAGACCAUGGAUUAAGUGGGGUAAUCCAUGGCUAGGUGUGCAUUAAAUGAUUUGAACGAGUGGUUCUUUUCCUCCACACCAUGCAUUAAAAUCGUUUAAUGCACACCUAACCGUGGAUUACCCCUUACAUAUCAUCUGAGAGAGACAGCUAAUUCUGUAUGUAAACAGAUAUACUUACUAAUCACAACCUCUCCGAGUUGAAGAGUGGCCAGUGAAGUAUUUCCACUGACUCCCCUCCAAUUGAGGUUCUUUGCCAGGGAGUUGGCAAUCACCCUCUUCAAUAUGCGGCAGAUGCAGUCGCGCACAUCCGCCCCAUCGAUAAGCGCCAACCAGUUUACCUGAAAACUAUUUUUUUAAAAGAAUAAUAUAAUAUAAAAUAAUAUAAAUAAAUAAAAAAU